rnacentral:rRNA from 1 species
GACGUAGGGGGCCAGCGUUGUUCGGAAUUACUGGGUGUAAAGGGUUCGUAGGCGGUGUGGCAAGUCGGGAGUGAAAUCUCUGGGCUCAACCCAGAGUCUGCUUCCGAAACUGCUGUGCUUGAGUGUGGGAGAGGCGCGUGGAAUUGCAGGUGUAGCGGUGAAAUGCGUAGAUAUCUGGAGGAACACCGGUGGCGAAGGCGGCAUCCUGGACCAACACUGACACUGAGGAGCGAAAGCCAGGGGAGCAAACGGG